rnacentral:rRNA from 1 species
UGACAGCAGCCGCGGUAAUACGUAGGGUGCGCGCGUUAAUCGGAAUUACUGGGCGUAAAGCGUGCGCAGGCGGUUUUAUAAGUCAGAUGUGAAAUCCCCGAGCUCAACUUGGGAACUGCGUUUGAAACUGUAAGACUAGAGUGUGUCAGAGGGGGGUAGAAUUCCAUGUGUAGCAGUGAAAUGCGUAGAUAUAUGGAGGAAUACCAAUGGCGAAGGCAGCCCCCUAGGAUAACACUGACGCUCAUGCACGCAAGCGUGGGGCGCAAACAGGAUUAGAUA